CAAAUGGAUCGUCUAACAAGCUGUGACCUUUCAGUAUACUGUCUGAGCAUAAUUACUUGUUCUCCAUAGUUUUCAAGCAUGUCACACAUACGUUGAAACAUCAUACCGUUUCAGGUUAAACCUACUGCAUCUGUUACAGUUAUCAACAUUAGUGUGCAUGUGGGAAUUUUCAGUCAUUUUUUCGCUUGAUUCAACUGCCAUCUUUGUUUAUAUACAGACUGGUCGUGAUGGAAAAAAAACCCAAAUCUUCCGUUCAACAGGAGCCCUCAUAAAAUACAUCAUGUAGCAUGAUUUUAGAUGACUUCGGUGACCGGCGAAAAAUUAAAUGGAAAUAAUAAACCUUUUUCCGGAAGUUUCCGUUUUAAGAAUAGAGGUGGAUUCUACUACAGGAUCUCAGCAGAGUCCUGUGACGGAGUGGCUUGAUGCGGUAGUUAUCGCGUCACUCAGCAGGUCAAACAGCGGUGCAUGCUGAAGUGGACAAAAGAAGAUCUGGAAAUGACGGUGUGGAUUACAUUUUUUUUUCAUCGAAGUAUAAUGAUUCCAGUAAUCUAUUAAAAUUGUGAUUUUAAUAAAAAUGAGAAGAACUAAUUACCUUUUUUCAUUU